GAUGAACGCUGGCGGCGUGCCUAAUACAUGCCAGUCGAGCGAACAGACGCGGCGCUUGCUCCUCUGACGUUAGCGGCGGACGGGUGAGUAACACGUGGAUAACCUACCUAUAAGACUGGGAUAACUUCGGGAAACCGGAGCUAAUACCGGAUAAUAUAUUGAACCGCAGGGUUCAAUAGUGAAAUACGGUUUUGCUGUCACUUAUAGAUGGAUCCGCGCCGCAUUAGCUAGUUGUUCAGGUAACGGCUUACCAAGGCGACGAUGCGUAGCUGACGUGAGAGGGUGAUCGGCGACACUGGAGCUGAGACACGGUCCAGACUCCUACGGGAGGCAGCAGUAGGGAAUCUGCCGCAAUGGGCGAAAGCCUGACGGAGUGACGCCGCGUGAGUGAUGAAGGCCUUCCGAUCGUAAAACUCUGUUAUUAGGGAAGAACAAAUGUGUAAGUAACUAUGCCGGUCGUGACGGUACCUAAUCAGAAAGCCACGGCUAACUACGUG
rnacentral:rRNA from 1 species